rnacentral:rRNA from 1 species
CUGAAAGGUGGGGGUGCCCGCAAGGGAGCGCGGAGACAGGUGUUGCAUGGCUGUCGUCAGCUCGUGUCGUGAGAUGUUGGGUUAAGUCCCGCAACGAGCGCAACCCUCACUGCCUGUUGCCAGCAUUCAGUUGGGCACUCUGGCAGAACUGCCCGGGUAACCGGGAGGAAGGUGGGGACGACGUCAAGUCAGCAUGGCCCUUACGCCUGGGGCUUCACACAUGCUACAAUGGCCGGUACAGAGGGUCCCGAGCCCGCGAGGGGGAGGCAAUCCCAAAAAGCCGGUCUCAGUUCGGAUCGCAGGCUGCAACUCGCCUGCGUGAAGUCGGAAUCGCUAGUAACCGCCGGUCAGCUAAACGGCGGUGAAUACGUUCCCGGGCCUUGUACACACCGCCCGUCACGUCACCUGAGUCUG